UGGGGAAUUUUGGACAAUGGGCGAAAGCCUGAUCCAGCAAUGCCGCGUGUGUGAAGAAGGCCUUCGGGUUGUAAAGCACUUUUGUCCGGAAAGAAAUCCUUGGCUCUAAUACAGUCGGGGGAUGACGGUACCGGAAGAAUAAGCACCGGCUAACUACGUGCCAGCAGCCGCGGUAAUACGUAGGGUGCAAGCGUUAAUCGGAAUUACUGGGCGUAAAGUGUGCGCAGGCGGUUUGCUAAGACCGAUGUGAAAUCCCCGGGCUCAACCUGGGAACUGCAUUGGUGACUGGCAGGCUAGAGUAUGGCAGAGGGGGGUAGAAUUCCACGUGUAGCAGUGAAAUGCGUAGAGAUGUGGAGGAAUACCGAUGGCGAAGGCAGCCCCCUGGGCCAAUACUGACGCUCAUGCACGAAAGCGUGGGGAGCAAACAGGAUUAGAUACCCUGGUAGUCCACGCCCUAAAACGAUGUCAACUAGUUGUUGGGGAUUCAUUUCCUUAGUAACGUAGCUAACGCGUGAAGUUGACCGCCUGGGGAGUACGGUCGCAAGAUUAAAACUCAAAUGAAUUGACGGGGUCAUAGCUGUUUCCU
rnacentral:rRNA from 1 species